rnacentral:rRNA from 1 species
UACGGGGGGGGGCAAGCGUUGUUCGGAAUUACUGGGCGUAAAGCGUGCGCAGGCGGUUAUGCAAGACAGAUGUGAAAAUCCCCGGGCUCAACCUGGGAACUGCAUUGGAAACUGGCUUACUAGAGUGCGGUAGAGGGGUGUGGAAUUCCCGGUGUAGCAGUGAAAUGCGUAGAUAUCGGGAGGAACAUCUGUGGCGAAGGCGACACCCUGGACCAGCACUGACACUGAGGCACGAAAGCGUGGGGAGCAAACAGG